rnacentral:rRNA from 1 species
UACGGAGGGGGCUAGCGUUGUUCGGAAUUACUGGGCGUAAAGCGCACGUAGGCGGACAUUUAAGUCAGGGGUGAAAUCCCGGGGCUCAACCCCGGAACUGCCUUUGAUACUGGGUGUCUGGAGGUCGAGAGAGGUGAGUGGAAUUCCGAGUGUAGAGGUGAAAUUCGUAGAUAUCUGGAGGAACACCGGUGGCGAAGGCGACAUCCUGGACCGGUAUUGACGCUGAGGCGCGAAAGCCAGGGGAGCAAACGGG